GUACACUUUACAGAUGGAGCUGGGUAAACGAUCCAAUAAAAAUCAUCAGUGAAAAUGCCACAUGUGAUUUUGAGCAUGAGAUGGAUGAUGGGGAGAGAGUGUGUGUGUCUCAGCCGUCCUCUGGCAGUAAUCACUGUUGUCGAGGCACUAAUUGGUCUUGUCUGUUUGUGAGGCCACACACUGUGACGUGGGGCUUCUGGCAGAUGGAUUGUGGACACUGGCCUCUAUCGAGCCAUGAUCAACAUUAAAUGGCUCACCAGAAUGCACAAGAUGACAGAUCAAGACUUUGCCUUUAUUGACUGUAACUGACAUCUUAAUCCGACUGCCAGCGUCUUUCCUUCCUCCAUUGUUGGUGCUCUCAUCUGUGGUGUUUCCACACGGUUGCGUGGCGGUGCGCUGGGAUUUCACAGUGUUCUGACUCAAGCUGACACCGUGACAGGCGAGCAGAAAAAGGUCAAGGGAGCCCUUUGAGAGUGAGCAAAUCAGCUACCUUUCAAUCAUCGAUCACAGAAACACCUCCUUCCUGUCGUCUAAAUCAAUCUACAGCAAUGGACUUCCAAGGUUCCAACGUUUUCAAAGGAAAUGGUGUUGGUUCCUCGGCAGUGGCCUCAAAACUGGAUUCACGCCUUCAGAAGACAGCCAUAAUUAAAAUGGCGUAAUUACCAUUGUCUGAAGUCUCAGCAUUAUCUUCUUUCUGUCUCAACAAUCAGACCGUAUGAUCCAGACCAAGACCUGUUGUAAGCCCACAAGGGUCAUGACAGAAAUUCUUCUGCUUUGUUUUAAAAAAUAAAGGCAUUAUAGAUUCAGUUCAUCAUCAUCAUCAUUAUCAUCUUCACAGUCCUAAUUGUUUUGCCUGCCAGCUGUCGGGUGGUGGGAUAAUUGAGUAAUCUGACAUUUUUGCAACA